rnacentral:tRNA from 1 species
GCCGAGGUGGCGGAAUUGGUAGACGCACUAGUUUCAGGGACUAGCGCCUUCACGGGCGUAGGGGUUCAAGUCCCCUCCUCGGCACCA